GCCACGGUGGUCUAGCGGUUAGAACGCUGGCCUUGUAAUCCUGGGGUCUCGGGUUCGAAUCCCGGCGGUUCCC
rnacentral:tRNA from 1 species